CCAGUGUCAGCCAUCUUGUAUGGGGUUUACUUGUAAACAAACUCGCUGUACUAUGACAGAUAAAAUAAUUGAAGUUAGAAGUAUUUUAGUGAUAAAAUUACAAAGAAGAAGUGUUAAUAUAUUAAAAAUUGGGUGAAUAUCUAAGAGUUCCACGAAAAAGACGCUGGGAGUCCAUAAUCACCUAUAAAAAUGAUAAGUAUAUGUUUUGAUAGCUGCUACUGCAAGCCUAUUAUUUUUACAUUAAUUACAAUCAAAAAAUGUGGAAAUUUAUAUGUAUAAUAUAGUAUGACGAUCAGAUAAUAGCUAACAUAAUAUUUUAAUUUUUGUCCAGUAGGAUUCUCCGCGUUUUUUUUAUUGUGGGGUUGGUUGAGAUUCUCGCCUGAUAAUUUAGCGAGGCCACGCGGUUGGAAUCGGUAUAUUAUGGUCAGGUCUCGAAGCCAGCCUUACUCGAACAAUUGUAAAGAAACUACUCGACAGAAAUAUUGCUUAUUUGCUAAUUAUUCUUAUUGUACAUUUAAAUAACUAAAUACUUUGAAUAAACAUUUUUUUUUACUCUUUAUAGUCAGUCGAACAACUGAAUUGCAGCCCUAGAUCAGAGGUGCCAUGUACGUAGAAUGACAGGGAAUUAUGUUCAAUAAUAAAUCAGGAUUGAAAUGCACGGCCCAGAGAAAAAAUAAUGUAUUGCGGACUACCAGAACUGGCUGUUCCAGUCAUGAGCAACCGAAUGAAUCACGGAGGAACAAUUUUGCUGGAAUUUGAGCUCUUAAUGAGUCAAAUUUUAUCAUUUCAGUCGCAGAUUAUCACGAUCGGAUGCCGGCUUACAUUUUAAUAUUGGUUAUAUGUUAAAAAUAUUAAAAUUUAUAAGAAUAGAUCAUUACGAUCGGAUGCCAGCUUACAUUUAGAUUUACUUCAAUGACAUUCAAGCAAGUAGUAGUUCCCACAUUCUUUGUUACUCAGCAGUUGCAUUAAUCGUAAAACGUUCUAAAAGAUCAAUUCUGAGAGAUCUUAUAAAAGUAAUUUAAUAAGAUUCGUACACGUACCGUGAUCCAGCCACAGAAUUUUGUGGAACAUUUGUACGUGAAUUUCCAUUUUGGAGUACGCCUGAAAACUAUAUAUAGGCCACAUAGUUAUUCUCAACGACUUCUUCCUAGUUGCUUUGUUAAAGGACCUUGGAAAAAAUGCGAAAAAGAUAAUUUUUGAAACUUUUUGUCGUAUUUAUCAAUACAUCAGCAUCAGGUGUACUCGAACUAAAGAAGAGCUAUCGGCGAAUAUCUAUCAGCGGCUAAAAUGGAUGAUGUAUGUAGAAGAUAAAAUGAUGGUAGUGGACGGUAAGCUGGCGAUGUAUCACGAAAAUUUAAAGCGAUUGUGUCGUCAUUUGGAGGUACUUCUGCAAAUACAUUUGGUACCGCAGAUGGAUGUUAGUGCUGUCAGCGAAGUUGCUAGAAGGCGUAAAUUUUCGCAAGCAUUUUUGGUGAUGGCGAGUAAUCUCGCUUGUCAAUUAUUAACGGUACACAAUGAGGAAAUUGCCAGAUGUAGAGAAUUUCAGAGUAAAUUCGACGGGAAUUUUUUUGGACAGCCUAUUUCCGGGUUUGGAGCAUGUUCCGCCUAGUUUCGCUACUCAAGCGCCAACUAUUUUCGAUAAUGGAUAGCCUAAGCUGACUGCGGACGAUAUGGAAUCACUAAAAAUUAAAUUACUCGAUCUCACGGAUUCCAUUUCAACGCCCGAUUUAAGUAGCAUUUGAUAUCACGCAAUUUUUCCUCUCUAAGAGUCUCACGUGAGUAACUACCAGUGAAGAAAAUAAUAUUAACAAAAUAAUAAAAGAAGACGAUAGUACAACUUUAAUGUCUGUUGAUGUCUCAGCUACCAAGAAAACAAGCGAACACAUUUCUCUGAGAUUUGACUUUGAAUCAGAAACAGAAUUUAAAAAAAUAACCCAGCAAAACGUAAGAUACUCAACAUCACCAUUCUCGAAAUUUGAAUAAAAAUUAAAAAUUCUCGAUUGAACUUAAAAAUUAAGGGUGCCGAAUAAACAAGUGGAGGUUGGUUAUUCGUAAUCCUCCAUAUCUCGAAGUACGAAGUACCAACAAUAACUACUACUGCCAUAAGCUCCUAAGUAAAUCGUGCAGAAAAAAUUUCUGCGGAAAUUUGAGCUCUUAUAUGAGUUAAUUUUAGAAUUUGAGAUGCAGGUCAUGUAACAUUAACAUUCUUAUAUAAAAUAAUCGAAAUUUCUUUUUCCGAUCCGAUGCCGGCUAACAAUUUAUUGUUAGCUACAGUUUGGGUAAAAUUUUUGAAAAUUUUAUCCCAAAUUAGGCCAGAUCAUUAGUUUUAUAAAAUAUUAUUUUUAUUAUCCGUGCUAAUUUAUUUCUGAUCGGAUGCCGGCUAACAAUUUAUUGUUAGCUAUAAUUUGGGUAAAAUUUUUGAAAUUUUUUCCCAAAUUAGGCCAGAUCAUUAGUUUUAAAUAGAUUUUAAAAUAAUAAUUUUAAGUCUGAAUAAGAAUAUAUCGAUCGGAUGCCGGCUUACACUUUUAAGUGAGUUGUAAUAUGGAUAAAAUUUUUUUAUUUUAUUCCAUGUUAGGCCAGAUCGUUAUUUUUAAAUGAAUUCUAUAUUAAAAAUUAGAUAAGUUUAUAUAUUAGAGUAAAUUAUAACGAUCGCAUACCAGCUUAUAUUUUCAUGUAAGUUAUAAUUUGGAUAAAAUUAUUACUAAUUUUAUGUCAAAUUAGGCCAGAUCAUUAGUAUUAAUUAAAUAAAUUUUAUUUGAAACAAAAUUUAUGUUAGAAUAUGUUGUAUUGAUCAGAUGCCGGUUUACAUUUUUAUGUAAAAUAUAAUUUGUGAAUAAUUUAUUAAAUUAUCUCAAAUUAGGUCAGGUCAUUAAAUUUAAAUUAAUUUAAUAUUAUAAAUAUUGUGUUUUUUAUUUGUCAGAGAAGAUAUGAAGAGUAGCACGAUUAUUAUUCUAUAUUUUAAAUGUUCAUUUUUUAAUUAAUUUUUUUCUAUAAGUAACGGAGUCUGCCUUAUCUUUGUGGAUAAUGCAGUUAUCUUUAUAUGAAGAUCGCGCUACUCAUCAUUUCUCCUCAAAUAUUUAUUUUUCUCGCCGUCAGAUGUCAUCAAUAGUGGUGGCAUCUAAAAAGAACAUGGCGGCGUCCAUACCAAAAUUCUACUACCGUUACCCCUUAAA